GAUGAAGAACGUAGCGAAAUGCGAUAAGAAGUGUGAAUUGCAGAAUUCAGUGAAUCAUCGAAUCUUUGAACGCACAUUGCGCCCUUUGGUAUUCCAAAGGGCAUGCCUGUUCGAGCGUCAUUUGUACCCUCAAGCUUUGCUUGGUGUUGGGCGUCUUGUCUCUAGCUUUGCUGGAGACUCGCCUUAAAGUAAUUGGCAGCCGGCCUACUGGUUUCGGAGCGCAGCACAAGUCGCACUCUCUAUCAGCAAAGGUCUAGCAUCCAUUAAGCCUUUUUUUCAACUUUUGACCUCGGAUCAGGUAGGGAUACCCGCUGAACUUAAGCAUAUCAAUAAGCGGAGGA
rnacentral:misc_RNA from 1 species